GGUGAAUUUCAAUACAGGGUGCAAGACUGCAGUGUCCAACAUAGUCAUGGCAACAGCAGUGAUGAUCACAUUGCUAUUCCUUACGCCAUUGUUCCACUACACACCUCUUGUAGUGCUCUCCUCUAUAAUCAUAGCUACCAUGCUUGGCAUUAUCGACUAUGAAGCUGCCAUCCACCUUUGGAAUAUGGACAAGUUUGAUUUCGUUGUCUGUAUUGGUGCCUAUAUUUGUGUCGUCUUUUUCAGCGUUGAGGUUGGCCUUGUCGUUGCGGUUACACUAUCCUUGCUAAGGGUACUCCUAUUUGUAGCAAGACCAAGGACUUUUGCCUUAGGGAACAUUCCCAACUCCAUGGCUUACAGAAGCAUUGAUCAAUAUCCAAUCGCUAGUAAUGUUCCUGGAGUUCUCAUUCUCUAAAUUGACGCCCCCAUCUACUUUGCAAAUUCAAACUACUUAAGAGAAAGAGUUCAAUCACUUCGGCUAGACUCAUCCACUCACCACCGUCACAGGAGGAAUUUCAGGGGACAUGCACGAGCCCGACGAGCAGUGUGCAACCUUCACGGGUGGAUUGGUUGGUGAGUGACACACGUGACUGGGUUUGGGGCGAAAAAGCUGUGUGUCGAAGUGGGUGAGUCUGAUUUC